AAGCUGAUAAAAUUGACCUGCUUCUGGGUGCAUUCUGCCUUUGGAUGGAAGAGAGAAAAUAGCCUCAAGCGGUAACAUCUGUGUGGGCCAGCUAAGGAAAUGGAUGAAAAUCUCCAAACUGUUACCACUGACAUUAGGGGAAAUUUGCGCUACCUCCUACUCAUCUAUAAUUUGGAAGAGCAGAGGACUCCUCGGGCAACAUGCUCUGGGAAGAGUCGAGCAAUAGCAACUUACAGAUUCAAAGGUAAAAAGAAAAUGAUUGUGAAACUGAUCCGUGCCAAGAGUGGGAGCAAGAGCACUCUAUCCUAGAGGAACAUCUCCCACGAGGCUGUCUAUAAAAACCUUGCUGUCAAGACUGAAUGAGCUGUUUCAGCCUUCUCUACUGCAUGGAUGGAUAUUUCCAGGCCUUUAGGAUUUUGACCUGUGGUGAAGCCCCGGAGCUGUGGAUGGCUAGCUGUGGCCUAGUUUCCUGAGAAUGGCCAUUGCAGGAGUCCAGCACGACGACGUCGUCCCCCUCUCGUGCAGCCACCCCGCAGUUGCAGGCCGUGGCGGAGCGGUGGCCUCCACAAUCCCACUGCCGAACGUGCACUUCAAAUGCCCGCGAUGUGCUCUGGCACAAAAGGAAGGUGCCGAUUUUGUAAUUAUCGUAACGCCUAAACGAUGACAAACAAAACCAGGAUUUAGAGACCCGGUGCAUCCACCCGGCGUGGUUGUCUGUGCCCCUCCGGCAUCGUGGCUGGCUUGGAAGGAGGGGAAGAUCCAGGCAUAGGGAAGCAUUUCUCCAGCACCAUGAGCAAGCUGUAGCUGUCACCAUUGUUAGCUGGGAGUGCAAAAGAAUUCAUGUGAAAUCCUGGUUGCUGUCUGCGAGCUGCUGCUAUGGCAACGGGCAUGGAUAAAAAGGAUAAACAUUGAUAAAAGCAAACGGGAAGAAGUCCCUGCCUCCAGGCCUUAAUAAAUAUGUUUUGGUUCUAACUGGAUGCUUUACAGCAUGAUAUUCUUCAAAGCAAAAUCAGUGCUCAGAUAACCUCUUCUGUGACUAAUCACCAACUUUUACAAGUCUGACUGUGGCUAGGCAAAUAUUUCAUGUGAAAAACUGGGCUUCUACUGAAAACCCAUUAAAACAAAGUUGGUUCCUCCCCAACAACUUCAUAGUAAGCAUAACUUCUGUUCUAAAUGGAUUGUCAAUCAGAGCACUGCUGCCUGUGGAACAAUUUGGAAAUUCCAUUCUUCUCUGUACAAAAAAUCCUUGCUCCAUGUGAGGCCACGGGCAGAAUAAUUUUGAAUUUGUGUUUCCCCUUUGCCAAGACAGAUCCAAAUCCUCAUGACCACAGAAAGUACUAGUAGGUUUUCCAAACUAGGGACCUGUAAAAUCCUUCUCCUCUACUUGUUCAAGUCUUUCUCCUUACACCAGAGUAGAUUUAAUUUUUAUUUAUUUAUUUAUUUUUAAUCUAGUUUAUUGUCUGAUGUAUAAAGUUAAAAAAAACGGUAGUUGCAUAUUUUAUAUAUGUUCCUGGAGAUUUCUGCACACAAGCCAACAGCUAGCAUCUUUAAAAGCAGUGGAUUCUUCUUACUUUACAAGCUCUGCAUUUAGUUUUAAACAUGAUUUUUAGGAAAUUAAGCAUAAUGGAAACUAAGCCAUAAGCUUAUAAUAAUAAGCAUUGUUGUUUUCUACAGUAAAAAAGAAACCGUAAAAAAGAACAUACAAAAAAAUAAAAUCAACCACUAAACUAAGUAACAGGAUUAUUUUUAAGCAGUGUCAUAAAAACAUCGAUGUUUUUGCAGUCUGUUAAUGUUUUCUAUACAGACGAGAAAAUAAUUUGUUUCAUUUUGGCUCAAGAACAAAGAAAUUUUAAUAUGUAUGUAUCUGCAUUUUAUUUCUAUCCAAAAUAAAAUCCAUAGAAAACUAUGUAGCUUAAAACACAGCAAGAAUUUAAACUCCAGCUGCUUUUCUCUGCAAGAAACCACAUUUGACAUUAUACUUCAUCUUAAAAAAACUUAGUGAAGUUGGCCAUAAAACGAUAUGAUUUUGAAUGCUUUUGUCUCAUCUUAUUUUCUAAUCAGGUACAUAAAUCCUAAGUGUGCUGUGCAGAUGCUGCUGCUCAGACUGAUUAGAACUAAGGACAACAGAAAAAAAAGAUAGUCUCUUAGCAUCAAGAACUAACUCUGUUUGGUCCUCUACACAGGAAAGACUGAGGAGCCAGGAAAUUUAAUGGGAGUCACCUUCCACGGUUCCCUUCAACAGACCUUUCAACAGGAAGAGCCUAGCAGGAAAGGUGUUUAGAGAGGCUGAUGGAACAUAAUGCCUCAAAAUGGCUGUAUCCAGACUAAUCAGUUCUUUAGUCAGCCAUCCCCAGGACUCCACAGAGAGAGGAUGGAAAAUGCACCACGGGGACAAUUGUCUACUACCUGUCCACAGCAGCUCUGCCUGCAACAUUUUGACCUUAGAGCCUGCUGUAUCCUGGGGAAGCUGCCUCAAACUAUGACUCACAUCAGGACUGUUUGCAGGAAAUUCUUCCAGAAGGACAAAGUUGAGUGAUCAGCUUGCAGGAGGACAUGAGCAGAAUUGCAAGCACGUACACUGCUUGUCCCAGUGACAUCCUUUCUGCCAAACUGCGAAGCUUGCAAUCUGUUUUGUUCUGAAGCUGGGAAGUGCAGACAGGUGUCGUGCUCCCCAGCCUCCCUGUGGAUGGGAUGGGGCUGCAGGUCAUCAAGUCCAACCAAGGAGACCCUACAGUACCCACUGGACCCAGUCCUGAGGCUGCAGUGGUCCAGUGUUCACAGCUGGAUUUCAGACAGUGAGUUAGCACACACACACACACACAUACACACAAAACAAAGAAAAAAACCCUCAGCUUUAAAUGUUUUACUUCCAAUGCACAAUAUCGUAUAAACCUCCCAAAAUCAAGAAGUUGAGGACUCAGUAGAGGUGAACCUCACCUAAAUGCCUGGAAAAAAAGGAGAAAGCUUCAACAGCACUAAAUAAUGAGCUAUGAGCUCCACAGGAGUACGCAGAUAGAGAUGGACAAGCAUCUUACACAGGAACAGAAGAAGUGUCAAGAAAGGCCAACAAAGCAAACAUUUUAUUGAGCAGAUGGGAGUCUGACUCCAGGAUCAGAAGAGAUACAAAAAAUACAAUAUCCCUGAACAUAGCUGUCUUGUUCACACUGAUAUGAGAGAAGCUGAUUUUGCCCCACAGUUUUGAAGACUUGCAUGAGGUGCAAGGUGAGAAAGGUGCCUUGUGUGUAACAUGGCAGAUGCAUAUUUAUUUCUUACUUCACUGGCUGGCUGUGGGAAGAGGAGAUAAAGUAAGAAGAGAUGCUACAAGAAAACUGUAUUCUUGCCUAGAGCUCAAAAUGCUUCUGUAUAACAGUGUGGGCUUGUUUUGUUUUUGAGU